rnacentral:rRNA from 1 species
GAGUUUGAUCCUGGCUCAGGAUGAACGCUAGCGGCAGGCCUAAUACAUGCAAGACGAGCGGUAAGUGUGGUAGCAAUACUAUACGAGAGCGUCGUAAGGGUGCGUAACACGUAUGCAAUCUGCCCUCAACAGGAGGAUAGCUCCCCGAAAGGGGAAUUAACACUCCAUAAGAUCGUAGAGUGGCAUCAUUCAGCGAUUAAAACUCUGGUGGUUGAGGAUGAGCAUGCGGAUGAUUAGCUAGUUGGUGAGGUAACGGCUCACCAAGGCGAUGAUCAAUAGGGGAACUGAGAGGUUGAUCCCCCACACUGGCACUGAGAUACGGGCCAGACUCCUACGGGAGGCAGCAGUAGGGAAUAUUGGACAAUGGUUGCAAGACUGAUCCAGCCAUGCCGCGUGCAGGAAGAAGGCUUUCUGAGUUGUAAACUGCUUUUGCCAGGGGAUAAAAAGUCCUUGCGGGGAAAAUUGAAGGUACCUGGUGAAUAAGCCACGGCUAACUACGUGCCAGCAGCCGCGGUAAUACGUAGGUGGCAAGCGUUGUCCGGAUUUAUUGGGUUUAAAGGGUGCGUAGGCGGUGUCCUAAGUCAGUUGUGAAAUACGGCAGCUUAACUGUCGAGGUGCAAUUGAUACUGGGACACUUGAGUACUGAUGAGGUAAGCGGAAUGGACGGUGUAGCGGUGAAAUGCUUAGAUAUCGUCCAGAACACCGAUAGCGAAGGCAGCUUACUAAGGAGUAACUGACGCUGAGGCACGAAAGUGUGGGGAUCAAACAGGAUUAGAUACCCUGGUAGUCCACACUGUAAA